CAGUCGCCGCGGUAAUACGUAGGUCCCGAGCGUUGUCCGGAUUUAUUGGGCGUAAAGCGAGCGCAGGCGGUUAGAUAAGUCUGAAGUUAAAGGCUGUGGCUUAACCAUAGUACGCUUUGGAAACUGUUUAACUUGAGUGCAAGAGGGGAGAGUGGAAUUCCAUGUGUAGCGGUGAAAUGCGUAGAUAUAUGGAGGAACACCGGUGGCGAAAGCGGCUCUCUGGCUUGUAACUGACGCUGAGGCUCGAAAGCGUGGGGAGCAAACAGGAUUAGAUACCCCCGUAGUCCCUGUCUCUUAUACC
rnacentral:rRNA from 1 species